CACUUCUCCUUCAUUCUCUCUCUUCUUUUACCUCAAAACAUCUUCUAACCACAUAAUAAACCACUUUAUUUUUUCUCUCUUUUUCUCUCUCUUUCAUUUCAUAGUCUCUCUUUCUCCUUCUCAGAAAUUUCAUCUUUCCUCUCAUAUCACUAACCCUAAACCCUAUUCUUUCUUCUCAUUCUACUUCUUCUUUCAAGUAACCAAAAUCUUUUAUAGUUUUUCUCUCACAUAUGAAUUUUGUUGUUGUUAUUGAGUGCUAAAUCUAUUUUUUAUUUGAUUUGCAGGUUUUCUCUCAAAUCUAGAUUUUUGUUGUUAUUGUUACUGAGCAUAUUUUCUCUCGGAUCUGGGUAAAUAUGGUUUUAUUGAUUCAAUUUUGUUUUCAUUUCAGUUUCUUUUACAUAUAUUUGAACUUCAUUUGGGGUUACAGAUGCAUUCAAGUAACAGAUCUGAAAGGGAUUUGAACAAAUAUUCCUCUCUAUUCUUGGUCAGACAUGUUCUGGUAUGUUCUUAUGCUACUACUAUUAAUCUACUCUUUUCUAACGUGUGCAUCCACUCACCAACAUAAAUUUAGUGCAUUUUAUUUUUUUUCUCCCAUUCUUACUGGAUGGCUAGGUCUUCAGAACUCCUAAAAUAUAUUAAUACAAAAUAUUUGUGGAUAUUUGAUUUACUUGAAUGUCAUAAUUUAUCCUAAUUUUUUCUGUUUUGUUUACAAAAUAUUAAUUUUGAUUGAGUAUGAAUUUAUAUAAGUAUUUUAAUUAUGUAUUUUUAUUCUACCUUUUUCACCAUCUUAUUAUCUUUUUUUUUACAUAAUGACAUAUUAAAGUUGAAGGAGAAGUGUUGACUAUUAUGAUUGAUUCGUAUGCUACAGUUUUAAAUGAUAUUGUUGAAUCUAUUAUAUGAAAGGUUAAUAAGAAUUUUUUGUGUUCCUUCAAUUUCUAUAUUUUUCUCAAUCUACUUCUUAUCUCAUUAUUUUCUUGACUUGAUCUUUUUUUAGACAAUGAAGGAGGUUGAUUCAAAAGAAGAUAAAAAGAUUGAUAUGGAAGACCGGAAAGAUUAUAUGGCAAAAAAUUAUUCUCUUUUAAGAUUGAUAGUUAAUUUUAAAUAUUAUAUGAUAGAUGUAUCUAAAAUUAAAUAAAUAAUCAUACAUACUUAUUUUAUUUUUAAUCUAAAUUAUUUUAAAAUAUUUGAUA